CAGCCGCCGCGGGAAUACGGAGGGAGCUAGCGUUGUUCGGAAUUACUGGGCGUAAAGCGCACGUAGGCGGCUUUGUAAGUUAGAGGUGAAAGCCUGGAGCUCAACUCCAGAAUUGCCUUUAAGACUGCAUCGCUUGAAUCCAGGAGAGGUGAGUGGAAUUCCGAGUGUAGAGGUGAAAUUCGUAGAUAUUCGGAAGAACACCAGUGGCGAAGGCGGCUCACUGGACUGGUAUUGACGCUGAGGUGCGAAAGCGUGGGGAGCAAACAGGAUUAGAUACCCCGGUAGUCCCUGUCUCUUAUAU
rnacentral:rRNA from 1 species